GGAAGGGUCAGUUGCUCGGGGCUCUCGGAAGGCUUUUGCAAGGCGGGGGUUAGGGGUUCGAUUCCCCUCGUCUCCA
rnacentral:tRNA from 1 species